AGGCGGUGGCGGCGGCGCGCGGGCUGAUGGCGUCACAAAGGCGCCGCGGCUCGCAGCGCGCUCUGGGAGUGAGCGCGGCAGUGGCCCUGGCAGCUGGCUGAGCGGCCCAGCCCGUGUGCACGUGGCGCCGGCGCUGCCUUUCGGUUGCCAAAAUUCAGGCUGUAGACGGCGAGAUAACAAGUUUAAAACCCCGGCUAAGCCAGAAGAGCCAAAGAGGGACCUCGCCAAGGCCACUCCUCGCUCUCAAGGCCGAGAAUACUGCGCAAAUUCUGUGAGGUUUGGGCCUGGCGGCUCUCCGUUCCCGACCCCCGGCGUGGAUUCGUUCCCGCGCUUUCUGGCGUGAGGGGUCAGAGGGCGCGCCGGGGUCAGAGGGCGCGCCGACGCUCAGGCGAACGGAGCGGAGGCGGCAGCGGCCAUGGGCGAAGCGGGCGCCGCUGAGGAGGCCUGCCGGCACAUGGGAACUAAAGAGGAAUUUGUUAAAGUCAGAAAGAAGGAUCUGGAACGGCUGACAACUGAAGUGAUGCAAAUACGGGACUUCUUACCCAGAAUACUAAAUGGGGAGGUGCUGGAGAGCUUCCAGAAAUUAAAGAUUGUAGAAAAAAACCUGGAAAGGAAAGAGCAAGAAUUAGAGCAGCUGAAAAUGGAUUGUGAGCACUUUAAAGCCCGCCUGGAAACCGUGCAGGCCGACGACAUAAGAGAGAAGAAGGAGAAACUGGCUCUUCGACAGCAGUUGAAUGAAGCGAAGCAGCAACUCCUGCAGCAGGCAGAGUAUUGUACAGAAAUGGGAGCAGCAGCGUGUACCCUCUUGUGGGGUGUCUCCAGCAGUGAGGAAGUCGUCAAGGCCAUUUUGGGAGGAGAUAAAGCUUUGAAGUUUUUCAGCAUCACUGGUCAAACAAUGGAGAGUUUUGUGAAGUCGUUAGAUGGUGAUGUCCAGGAGCUGGAUUCGGAUGAAAGUCAGUUUGUUUUCGCUCUGGCUGGAAUUGUCACGAAUGUUGCUGCUAUAGCAUGUGGUCGUGAAUUCUUGGUUAAUUCAAGCCGGGUGCUCUUGGACACCAUAUUGCAACUUCUGGGAGACUUGAAGCCAGGACAGUGUACCAAACUCAAAGUGCUAAUGCUGAUGUCCCUAUACAAUGUAAGCAUCAAUUUGAAAGGCUUGAAAUACAUCAGCGAGAGUCCAGGAUUCAUCCCUUUGCUGUGGUGGCUUUUGAGUGGUGUCUGGUGAUGUGUGGUUGUCUGGUCAUGUUUAACAGUGGGAUUUAUAAUGCUGAUUGGAAGCUGUGAGCAUAUGGGUGGAGCUUCUGAACUUUUCUGCAGUGUGAGCUGGUGCAUCAAUUAAUUGGGAACCCAUAGAUCCAGAUGCAGAGGUGUGCCUUCAUGUACUGAGGCUUGUGCAGUCUGUGGUUCUGGAACCUGAAGUCUUCUCCAAGUCGGCCUCUGAGUUCCGGAGCUCCCUGCCCCUGCAACGCAUCCUGGCAAUGUCCAAGAGCCGCAACCCCCGCCUGCAAACCGCAGCCCAGGAGCUCCUGGAAGACCUCCGCACUCUGGAGCAUCAUGUGUAGGUGUGCUCGGCCACCAGGGUUUUGGUGAAAAUGCCGGUGUCCCUUCUCCCCAGAUCCCUCAUUUGAUACUCCAAAACCAUCACCAUGUGCCAUGUGUUAGAGUUGGCAAAAUGUGAUUGACUAGAGAUGGACAUGAAUUGAUAUGUAUCCCACAUAACUUUGUCUUGGAAGUGAGAGUGCUUGUAGGUGGUUGGUUAAGCUUGCCAAAGGAGAGGCCAUGAAAGAACCUGUCCUUCCGGAAAAGUGGUCCAUGUCUGUGCUGGCUGGAAGAGGGCUUGCUUAGGGCAGCUUCUUGCUGCUCAGCAGACCAUGACCUGUAGGUUCACCUAUAAAACAGGGAAAUUAAAUAACCAUCUACCCCAUUAGCCAGCAUUUUCUUGAGAUACAUUUCUUUGAAAAGCAAUUCAUUCUCUCUCUAGUAAUUGUAAUUAAUCCCCCCAAAAUGCAAGUUUACUUUUAUAACCUUUUGGUGAACCUGCUAUUUCGGAUGACAUUGGGCAUUUUAGUUCUAUAUUUUUUGUGCCUCUUUUAUUUUUGAAUAAAGAAAAUCAGAAGAGUUGUAUUACGA